rnacentral:rRNA from 1 species
UACGUAGGGUGCGAGCGUUAAUCGGAAUUACUGGGCGUAAAGCGUGCGCAGGCGGUUUUUUAAGCCAGCUGUGAAAUCCCCGGGCUCAACCUGGGCACUGCAGUUGGAACUGGCAAGCUAGAGUAGGGUAGAGGGGUGUGGAAUUCCAGGUGUAGCGGUGAAAUGCGUAGAUAUCUGGAGGAACACCGGUGGCGAAGGCGGCAUCCUGGACCGACAUUGACGCUGAGGCGCGAAAGCCAGGGGAGCAAACGGG